UGAGCUUUGAGGCUGAGGAGAUCUGCCUGUCUGACAGCCUGGAAGUAACGAUAAAAGAGAAAAAGCACGGGCAACUUGACAAGAUGUUUAAAAACAUACAUCAGUACAAUAAGACCAUGAAAACAGGAUCCUUCCUGUGGUGAGCUGGGGUCAUUUUUCUGUCAAUCAAAAUGAGAAUGAUUACGUUUAAGCAGAGUCAGCAGCAAUGUGCAUAACAAUGACCACCUCUGUUAAGAGCGGAAUCCGGGCAAAGCCUCAGGGGCCCCACUUGAACCCUCCCCAAACCUGCCAAAGAAGCUGGACCUUGUAAUAGUUACAGAUGUCAUAAACUGGCUCUGAUUUGCAAGCACUCUCUAGGUGAAAGGAGAAAUGUCUGUGGUGAUGCGGCAUUUCUGGCUCUCAGCAGCAGCAGCCACUACCUCGCCCAGAGCAGUUCUCAAGGACUGGAAACCAUCUACAGACCUGGCAGAUGCCACCUCUGCCCAUUGGCACCAAUUCGACAUAUCAUGUUAUGUAGCCCAAGCAGGCCUCUAACCUAAAGCAAUGCUCCUGCAUCAACUUUCUAGGUGUUGAGAUUAAAGAAAUACGUCACUACACCUGAUUAAUUUAAGUUUUUAUGCUUAUAUUUUACAUUGAGAUAUGUAUGUGUGUAUAUAUGUACGUAUGUAAAUAUAUUUCUGUUUCCGAUAAGCAGCAGAGAUGCUUUAAAAACAAAAUCACCAUAAAGCAUGGUCCUUAAAUGUGCCCCCAAGUGGUGUCUCCCAAAAUGUCUAGUCUGGCAAGAUUUUAUUCCUUGUUUCUCAUGAUAUGUGUUUAAAAAACAAACAAACAAAUGAAUAGAACAACAACAAAAAAGCAAACAGACAAAAACGUUUGUUCAUGAUGGGAGCAUCAUGACAUCCAGUGAAAGGCGAUAGUUGCCUGAAGCAAGCUGAGUUCAGUCCGAGAUCUAGAGGGUAGAAGGAAUGAACUAACUCUCAAGUUACCCUCUGACCUCCACAUUUGCUUGUUGCUUGCACACUCACACACACACACACACACACACACACAUACUAAAUAUAAUU